UACAGAGGUCCCAAGCGUUGUUCGGAUUCAUUGGGCGUAAAGGGUGUGUAGGUGGCGCCGUAAGUCGGGUGUGAAAUCUCGGGGCUUAACUCCGAAACUGCAUUUGAUACUGGUGUGCUUGAGGACUGGAGAGGAGACUGGAAUUCAUGGUGUAGCAGUGAAAUGCGUAGAGAUCAUGAGGAAGACCAGUGGCGAAGGCGGGUCUCUGGACAGUUCCUGACACUGAGGCACGAAGGCCAGGGGAGCAAACGGG
rnacentral:rRNA from 1 species